UACGAAGGGGGCUAGCGUUGUCCGGAAUUAUUGGGCGUAAAGCGCGCGCAGGCGGUUCUUUAAGUCAGGGGUGAAAGCCCAGAGCUCAACUCUGGAAUUGCCUUUGAAACUAGAGAACUUGGGUACGGGAGAGGUGAGUGGAAUUCCUGGUGUAGCGGUGAAAUGCGCAGAUAUCAGGAAGAACACCCGUGGCUAAGGCGGCUCUCUAGUACGGUACUGACGCUGAGACGCGAAAGCGUGGGGAGCGAACGGG
rnacentral:rRNA from 1 species